AAUCCUCUCCUCUCUUGUUCUUGAUGACCUUAUUAUGUUGGCGAUUACUUAGCUUUGGCGGUGGGUGAAUGAAGCAGAAGAGGAAUGGGAAGCGCCGGUCCUAUUCUUCACGUCAUCUGGAAGCAAUUGAGAUAUGCUGAAAUAUGCAAGCAAAGGCUCGAUCAUGCCAUUCUCACCUUUUCCAGAAUUUUAGAAAAUCAUAAGUUGUUGAUCAUGCAUCAUAUUUAUUCAAGUCAUGAAGAAACUUGAAAAGGAACCAUCAAAUAGGGAUGCCUUUAUUGAGAAAUUGCACCAAGAGAAUGAGAAGCUAUUUGAUAGGCUUACAGAUAAAUCAUCACUUUCUUCAUCACCUCAGAAAUGUCAAUCCAAGAUGAACUACCAACAAUUGGAGCGCUCUGCGCAAUAAAGCAUCUACUGCCCAAGUCUUGUCAACUAGUUUGAUCACACUUAUAGUUAAAUUUUUAUGCAUUGGUAUUCUUUGCAAUUCAUCAUUCCAAACUAUUUCUCUAUGAAAAUUGCAUUCAUUCUCCAAGUUCUCUAAAGUUAUUAUGAUCGGUUCCCUUAUGGGAAAACAAGACCAGGAUCUUAGUUACCAUUUAUGGACAUUUGGACUAUUCCGUUGCAAAGAUUAUAUUAUAAAGAAUUAUCCUUUUGGUUUAAAAAUUAGAACCCAAUAACACUUCUUUUUCUACCAUAUUAAACAAUCUAGGUUGUUGGAAGCUUGGCAUAUCGCUUGUUGAAGCCAUCAAAUUGUUGAUUGAUGCUCAAAGUUCCUGCAUUAGAAAAGCACUUUCAGAGGUAAUGAGGAGAUAGAAGAACUUGGCGGAUGAGCCUUCUUGUACCUGACAGUGCACACCCGAGGGCUUCUUUGAUUAGUCUACUUUUCUACUGGCAUUAGGAGUUGGGUCCUCUAGUCGGAUGGAUGCAUUCACGGAGCUAUUUUCUUGUUGCAUUGGGAGGUUUAAACUCUCACUCAUUACUUGAUGGCAUGAGGACUACCGCUCUUUUGUGAUUUGGAAGCUUGCUUUUCUUGGAAGCUAAGAUUUUCUAUAGUUGUUGCAGUUAAUAAUUUGCCUGAUAUAUGUGAUGUUUUGGUUUUUGUGGAUCUGCACUAGAUUUUCCUUCUAUUUGAAGUUAAAAUAUUGGUUUACCGGCAAAGAACUCAGCCUGCUAUAUUUAUGGUUUUGGAGUUGAGUUUUCUUUAUCUGAAAGACUUUCUAUUUUGAUUUUCUGCUCCUGAAACCUCAGUGUUUGUUUUUUGAAAACUUGUGGGCUAUCUCUGAAAUUAGGAUUCCAUGUUUAGAUGUGAAUUUUGUUACACUGGUUUCUGGAUUUGUGUUCUCUGCAAUUUGUAACAUUGUUGAUGAGUCUUAUUUUUAGUGUCUGUAAUUUGUUAUUUGUGAAUAAAGGCAGGUUUUUUAGUGUUCUAGUGACUGGAGUCAGCUUCAAAUGUUACUGAAUUAUGAAGCUGCAUUGGUUUUUAUCUAGGCAUCAAAAGGAUCCAAAAUCUUAGAAGGGAGAAGAAUAUGUAGAUCUCUUAAAAGGAGCUAUUGAAACUAUACUAGAUUUCCAUAAAGUUGCCCACAACUCCACAUCUGGUUUCACUCGUGAUAUGGGGUGCACUCUCGACUUUCAUUUUUAUUAUAUUACUAUCCUAGUUAAUUAUUAUUUGAUUCAAGAGGUAAUAUUGAUGCUUGGACUGUAGUACUGAAAUCAAGAACUGAUAUAUCUCCUUUUUAUCUAAAUUUGCCAAAAAAUCCUAAUUUUAUUUGCUAGAUCUUAAUUUUAUUAGUACAACAUUUGUACAAAUUGUAAUAUUGUCACCGCUUCUAUUCACUGAUGCUUAUUAUCAUUCUUAAGAGUGUCUUAUGUACAAACACAAGAAAUUAUUUAGUUUCUUUCCUCAAAUUAUUUUGAAAUCCUACCAAAGUCCUCCUAUCUACCUUGUCGAUAACUACAACUUUGGGUAUUUAGUUAUAUAAAUGACCCAUUUUUUUCAUUUUACUUCCUCACUUUAAAACUUACAAUUGUUAGCACUUAUAGUUUCCAACCAAAUAAGCAAUAUAAGGAUGAGUUAACACUUUGAUUAUGACGUCAAUACCAUGCUAUCCUAGUCAGUACAAUGAAAAAGAAAGAAAUAAAAAGCUUAGCCUUGAUCAGACAAUCUAUAUUAUUAUCUAAUCAUUUUACUUAUUAAUGUUAUCAUUUAGGGAUAGCUAAUAUGAAUCAUUGAAAAUUAUGUCCAUUGAACAAACUGAGAGAAAUAUAAGUUCUUAACUUUUAAUGUAGUAGGAAAUUAUUAGAAUAUGACAAAUAGACAUGCCACACCUUCAACUUAAGUAGAGUUUGCAUGUGUUUUUAUUAAUGUGUAAAAUUUUCUUUGUUAUUUCUCAAUGUCUCAUGCUUUAUUUUGUUAUGGGAUUAUAUAUGGAGAUCUUUUUCAUGCACUUUACUUUUAUUUUUGAGUUAACAACUUUGAAACAAUAUAUUCCAAUUCACAAAAGCUAUUUUUUGAUGGCUAUGAAAAGCUCCAUGAAGUUGAGGUACUAAAGCAUAAUAGUGGUAGGAAGAAAUAUAAACUCAUUUAAUGCUUAUCUAUCUUUAGAAUUGGGCUUGAUGGAUGGUCCCCUUUUGGGAAAUUUAAUGAAUGUAAGAAAUGUUGGUUGGGAAACAAUAUUUGAAUUUGAAUUUGAAUUUCGAAUUGUUUAAUAAUUGGCUAUGCUAAUUUAUUUGCUUUAUUUGCUAUCUUUAAUUUGGAUAGGCAAUUAAUAAGGAUUGUUGAGUGAUUUAAAUCGAUUAUUUCUCUGCUAGUUUUUAUAGUACUAAGUCUAAAAUGUGUAGCAAUGUCCCUUUAUAAUGGCAAGCUUAAAUUACAAGUAUUCCACUUUAUCUUCUCUAAGUGAGGAUUUCUCCUCUAUGUGAGAUGUAGUUCCUUGCUACAUCAAUUGACAUAAUGAGUUGAACUUGAUCCCCAUGCCCUACCUUACACCUACUUCUUUGUCAUCACACACGCCGAUCUUAGUUUCCAUCUCUCUAAAUAAAUGUCUUUCGACAAAAAAAAUCAUGCAAAGCAAUUUAACUCGUGAUUGCGACUACCUUUUUUUGCCUCCUUUGGACUCUUAUGCCUAAUAUUAUAACACAUUCGGAAGCAUGCCAACUUGGUUGAAGGGUGUGAGAUCUUGGGUGAGUGUGCUGCAUCUUAUCCAUCAAUAGGAAAUAACAUUUUCUUUUAGAAGAGUUGGCUUGUCAACACUCCAACCACAUAAUGAGUUUUUGAAACUUUCAUUCUUUGCCAUGGUCGCAAUGUUUUAUUUUCUGUCCAUUAGGUUUUUUUUUUAAGUUAUAUUAACUCUUUAUUUCUAAACAGCUGUUCUGUCCAUACCUGUGUACUAUAUCUUACAUUCACUGGGUUGGGCUGAGCAGAUA